rnacentral:misc_RNA from 1 species
UUUCCGUAGGUGAACCUGCGGAAGGAUCAUUAAAAAUAUCACAUUUUGUAUGUGAUUUAAUAAUCAUCUACCUUUGUGAAUUUGUUUUUGUUUUGAAAUUUAUGUUGUCUAUCCUAGAUUUGGAAAAGUGUUUGUAAAAAGACUUUUUCAUUCUAGGAAUAGGUUUCAUAGACAUUUUUUAAAUUAAACUUUUGUAUUCAUUGUCUAAAUUUAUUUUUAAUAAUUUAAAAACAACUUUUGACAAUGGAUUCUUGGUUCUCGCAACGAUGAAGAACGCAGCAAAAUGCGAUAAGUAAUGUGAAUUGCAGAAUACGUGAAUCAUCAAAUUUCGAACGCAUAUUGCACUUUUUUAGUUUACUAAAAAGUAUGUCUGUUUGAGUAUCAGUAAAAUAUUCUCAUAAAACAUUUUUGUUUUUAUGGUUAUGAGUGUUUACAACGAUACAAGUUGUUUCACUUAAAUUGAUUUUUUAAAAAGCAAUUUGUUUAUUUAUUAAAAUUGGAUAAAAUUUCCCGUAAAAAGGAAUAACUUUCAGUUUAAAAUAAAUCUAAAUUGACCUUGAAAAAGAAAUUUAAUUAUAACUAACUUGAUCUCAAAUCAGAUAAGAUACCCGCUGAACUUAAGCAUAUCAAUAAGCGGAGGAAAAGAAACUAACAAGGAUUCCUUAGUAACGGCGAGUGAAGCGGGAAGAGCUCAAAUUUGAAAUCUUCAAGGUUUACCUUGACGAAUUGUAGUUUAAAGAAGUGUUUUCUGUUAGUGGUGAAAAGUUCUUUGGAAUAGGACAUCAUAGAGGGUGAGAAUCCGUAUUUGUCAUUCCUUCUAGCUUUGUGAUACACUUUCAAAGAGUCGGAUUGUUUGGGAAUGCAGUCCAAAAUGGGUGGUAAAUUUCAUCUAAAGCUAAAUAUUGGCGAGAGACCGAUAGCGAACAAGUACCGUGAGGGAAAGAUGAAAAGAACUUUGAAAAGAGAGUUAAACAGUACGUGAAAUUGUCAAAAGGAAGCGUUUGACACCAGUGUUGUUUUUCGAAAAUCAAUUAUAAAUGUUUGUUUUGAGGAGUGAUGACUUCAUCGGCUUCCUCUUCUCAGACUUUUUAAUGCACUUUUCGUUAACAAGUCAACAUCAAUUUCUUUUGUUGUAAAAGGUAUUGGAAGGUGGCUUUCUUUUCGGAGAAAGUGUUUAUAGCCUAUACUCUACAAUCGGAGAGAUGAGGUCUGCAGCGUAGAUCUUCGGGUUAGAUACAUUGUGCUAAGUUAUAGCUUUCAUAGACAACUUGUUGACUAUGUUUAGUCUUGUACUUACCGCUUGUGCUAUUUUACCUACGCUUAGGAUGUUGA